rnacentral:lncRNA from 1 species
UCCAGAGAAUGCUAUGGACAAGAAUCAAAUUUUACCAGGAGUAAUUGCCCAUGGAAACAUUCUGUUUUUCAAAAGAAGAAUGUACAUAUUCCACUUGACUGGGAAGCUGUGUGGCCCAAAUCACUGUUUGAGUGGAGGAAUGUUUUCUAGAGCAGUGACUGGAAGGACAAACGUGGUGUUGCAGAACAAAAAUUCCUUGCCUUUGGUAUGGAAUGGUGGUGCCUUUUCCAUGUGAUGAGAAAUGCUUCAUAGACAGUGGCAUGUGGGAGAGCUGAAGGAGGAGGCGUGUUCCAUAUUCCACUCAUUCAAAGGACAGCUUGGUGUUUUCACACUUUAUGCAGUGUUGCUUUCUCAAAGAAAUAAACAUGUGGCUGGAAGUGUUUAAUGGCUGCGUUUUGAUCGUCUACAACAAGGUUACAGUGCCCUCUGGUGGCAGUCAUCAAAAUCGCUUCUAGACUUGUUUUUAUUUUUAAAUAAAAGAUCUAAUUAUAUUGGAAA